AUGAUGCUGGGGCUUGCGGGGGGGCUGGCGCCAUCGGAUCCUUUCCGCUUAUCCAGAGUUGGAGAGGCCUGGACUGUGAUCUUGUGCUCAAAGCCUGCAGAAAGAGAAGCUUUCCUAAGCAAAUGGUUCCAUGGGUAACCAAAGGGAAGUUUCCACUGUAGAAGCAGAGAAGGAAUUCUAGAAUGGGAACACUGCCAUUUUCAUUCCUUAAUGCAGUGGUUCUCAGAGUGCGGGCCCCAGACCAGCAGCAUUACCAUCAGCUGAAAAUGUCUUGGCGAGGCAACUUUUUGGGCCCUCCCUGAAUCAGCAAGUUGGGGCUGGAGUGCAAUGGUGCGAUCUUGGCUCGCCACAUCCUCUGUCUCCUGGGUUCGAUUCUCCUGCCUCAGCCCCCAGAGUAGCUGGGAUUACAGAGAUAGGGUCUUGCUCUGCUGCACAGACUGGAGUCCAGUGGUGUAAUCACAGCUUACUGCAGCCUUCAACUCCUGGACUCAAGUGAUCCUCCCACCCCAGCCUCCCCGGUAGCUAGGACUCUAAGUACAUGCCAACAUGCCCAGCUGAUUUUUUUUUAAAUAUGGGGUCUACAUUGCCCAGUCUGGUCUCAAAUUCCUGGCCUCGCCAGUAGGCUGAUGCUACAGGUGCUCGCCACUGCACUGGGCUGAUCAUUGACUAUGUGUGAUAU